rnacentral:rRNA from 1 species
UACGGGAGGGGCAAGCGUUGUUCGGAAUUACUGGGCGUAAAGGGCUCGUAGGCGGCCAACUAAGUCAGACGUGAAAUCCCUCGGCUUAACCGGGGAACUGCGUCUGAUACUGGAUGGCUUGAAUCCGGGAGAGGGAUGCGGAAUUCCAGGUGUAGCGGUGAAAUGCGUAGAUAUCUGGAGGAACACCGGUGGCGAAGGCGGCAUCCUGGACCGGCAUUGACGCUGAGGAGCGAAAGCGUGGGGAGCGAACAGG